UACGUAGGGGGCGAGCGUUGUCCGGAUUUACAGGGCGUAAAGGGAGCGUAGGCGGACUUUUAAGUGAGAUGUGAAAUACCCGGGCUUAACUUGGGUGCUGCAUUUCAAACUGGAAGUCUAGAGUGCAGGAGAGGAGAAUGGAAUUCCUAGUGUAGCGGUGAAAUGCGUAGAGAUUAGGAAGAACACCAGUGGCGAAGGCGAUUCUCUGGACUGUAACUGACGCUGAGGCUCGAAAGCGUGGGGAGCAAACAGGAUUAGAUACCCCGGUAGUCCCUGA
rnacentral:rRNA from 1 species